rnacentral:lncRNA from 1 species
GUCUCACAGUUGCUACUCUAAGCAGCAGAUGAAAGCAUACAAACGCCUUCAGGCACAUAAAUAUUUUACAGCUGGAUUUGUUUUGAAUGGAGUAAAAAUUGUUAAUGAUUUCCUGAUUUCCAUAUUAUUGUUGGAAAGGUGAAGCAUUUCCAAAAAUCUAAUGCUAAACAACUAAAUGCUUGGGUGGGGUGAUAGCCAGUUUUGAUGACAUAGCAAAUGCAUAUUGUAUGCGUAUGGCUGGUAAUAGUGAAGUCUGCAGCCAUAUUGCAGCAAUCUUAUUUUUAGCUGAGUGUGCCCAGGGCAAGACAGACGAAGAAGAACCCAAUGCAUGUACAUAUGUUACAGCUACAUGGGUUGGUAUGCAUUCUCUGAUGAAAAACUAAUGAGUUUUGAAACUGUUCGGUCAGAGUGCUUGUUGUGCUCACUAAACGAACUGAAAUAUAAGAUGGCUUUGGCAUUGUGUUGCAGCGAUAUGAAAAUGGUUAUUCAUUUUUAAUUAUAAUGUACUUCUUCAUCAUGAGUAAUUAUGUAUUGGUCUUUUAAAUGUGUAUUUAUUUUUGUAAUUAGUAUCAACUUGUAAUGAUAAUAUACAUUUAUCGUUUAAGGUA